UAUAAGGGGUGUGAAGGCGGAGAUAGGAUGACCACUUCACUGAGUGUGUGUGACUGAAGAACCCCAAAGCAGAGCUCCAUGGAGAAUCAACACACGCCUGGCGUUCGAUCAAGGCAGGUGCAGUCUACUGUAGAAACAAAGCAGAUAAGGUCUUUUUUGAAAUGGUGAGGUUGGCACUACCUAGGAGAAGCCCUAGGUGUCUUCCCCAGUGUAAAGCAUGUGCAACGGUGAUGAGGAGAAGGCAAGAGUGAUCAGAUCACCACCCUUGGGAACUGCUUCAUGGCCUGAUCAUUUGGAGACUGCCAGCCAGAGCCAGGCAUCUCUGAUCUAGGCUCAGCCCAGUUUCACUCAGGACACAGAAUUCUCCCAUCCAGCCUCAAGAUCCCUUGACUACAAAGCAGCCAUUAUUUUUAAAAGGCAGAUUUACCCUUAUGGACUCGAAUAAAACUAUCAUAUCAUAAGUACACAAUAUAUGUCCUGGAUACAGGUACAAUCUCAAAUAAUGGUCUUGGUGGCUAGUUAUGUCAUAAAAGGUGAGCUUUAUUGACUACAGGGCCAGCCUUUUAAAUUCAAGCAACAGCCCCAAAAAACCUGCCUCAAAGGGACUUGCUGAUUUCUCUGAUGAUCACUUGAGUAUGAAGUACUCAAGGUUCCCAGGAGAUCAGGGAUCCUCCUGGGUUUGUGAAAAGACCACUCCCCUUACUGAGAGCCUGCUGAUGCAGCCAUCCAACAUACUAAUGCAAUAGAGUAGUGAAACUCAUUUAUAAGCCUGAAGCCAGUUUCCUUGCCUUAUACUCACAUCUCAUAUACUGGAAUGUUUGUUUAAACAAAGCAGUAAGUGUCAGUAAGGCAGACAGACAAAUUCUACGGGAAGAUGUCAACCCUAUUUAUAUCACCAAAAUAAACUUUUGUCCUGGUUGGUUUUCUAGGGAUUUACCAUGAUACCUCUAAUUAUCCAGGUUCCCUCUCCUAAUGCUAAAGUAUUAACACCAUUCGAAUGGACUUUGGGUAUGAGGGCCUGGCUACUGAUUGGUAUGUCUACAUUUUCUGGAUUUGAAGGACAGAAUCUGCCUACUAAAGAGCAGUUGAUUCCAGUCUCCUGGGCAGAAACAAACUUGGCUCAAUAAAUUAAAUGUCUCUUUGAGCUCCUUGAAGCUCAGUCCCCCCAGGCAUGGCUGGAAAAACAAGCUUCACUUUAAAACCGCACUCCUGCUUGCUGCUGGCUACUAAGGAAAAAAAAAUUUUUCUUAAACCCCAAUGUUGAUCUAACUUUUGAAAAGUCUCAUUGGAGCUCAGUAAUUAAUUCCUGGAAUGGCAUGUGCUUAGCUAGAGAGAGUGGUCCCCCCACAAACUACUUUCUCCACUUGAGGCAUUCCAGUCUCAUUACGCAUGUUAGAAUGCUCUCUUACGAGUGGAAGUCUUUUGGUCAAUGCACUGAACUUUCAGAUUUGGCAACCAAA